AGUUGCAGUGCAGUCCCUUCAGUGAGUGUCUUUUGUCCCCACCAAAGUUUAGCAGGCUAGAUCUGAAGGUGAAUGAGGCUACUGUGACAAUAACUAAUGUGGCAGUGUCUUCCAGCCCAGCAUUGGAAACAUCAGGCUUCAGAAUUCAAAGAAUUCCAUUACAAAUGAAUGGUUUCUGCCCCAAGGAUUAAACCAAAAGUAUGGCACAAUGCAAAGCUCUUCUCCCCUGUGACUAGCUCUGAAGUUGGUGCAACACACUUGCAGGAGACAGAGGAGGCAGCUGACGCAUAGCAGGAGGGCCUAACAGCGUGGUAGGAAGGAAGAUGGGAAACAGCAGGAGAUAGGUUGAGUCCCAUCUGCAAUUUGUCAAGUGUUUUCUGAGUCUGAAGACAAUAUAAGUAUGGCGUAAGAGCGACUUCUGUGGCCAGCACAAAUGACCACCAUAAAUGUCAACUGGUGACGAGUGCCACUGAAGCCUAACACUUCUGGUAUGUCUGCGUGUCCCUUUUUGUUUCUCACCUUAUACUUAGGAGACAAAUACUAAUUGUAAUUGUUCCUCACCUUAAAGCAAGGAUAGCCUGUGACGCAUAAUGCGUACGCUAAGGCUUUAUAAAUCUCAGCACUGUUGUUUAAUUCCCAUUGCCUUCUGCUGCACUUUUCCAUCAAACCUCUCUGUGCUUAGCCUAAAUUGGGUGGGGUGUUUUUAGAAUCCGUACAGCAGAAUAGCUUGGCGCCUGAGUUUUACCCAU